rnacentral:tRNA from 1 species
AUGGCUGUAGCUCAGUGGUAGAGUGCAUGCUUAGCAGGCAUGAAGUCCUGGGUUCAAUCCCCAGUGCCUGCA